rnacentral:rRNA from 1 species
UACAGGAGGUCUCAAGCGUUGUUCGGAUUCAUUGGGCGUAAAGGGUGCGUAGGUGGCGCCGUAAGUCGGGUGUGAAAUUUCGGAGCUUAACUCCGAAACUGCAUUCGAUACUGCGGUGCUUGAGGACUGGAGAGGAGACUGGAAUUCAUGGUGUAGCAGUGAAAUGCGUAGAGAUCAUGAGGAAGACCAGUGGCGAAGGCGGGUCUCUGGACAGUUCCUGACACUGAGGCACGAAAGCGUGGGGAGCAAACAGG